rnacentral:rRNA from 1 species
GACGAACCGUGCGAACGUUGUUCGGAAUCACUGGGCUUAAAGGGCGCGUAGGCGGGUUCGCAAGUCUGUGGUGAAAGCCUCCAGCUUAACUGGAGAAGUGCCGUGGAUACUGCGAAUCUUGAGGAGGGUAGGGGCGUCUGGAACGGUCGGUGGAGCGGUGAAAUGCGUUGAUAUCGACGGAACUCCGGUGGCGAAGGCGAGGCGCUGGACCCUUUCUGACGCUGAGGCGCGAAAGCCAGGGGAGCAAACGGG